rnacentral:rRNA from 1 species
GACGAACGCUGGCGGCGUGCUUAACACGUGCAAGUCGAACGAAGAGCGAUGGAAGCUUGCUUCUAUCAAUCUUAGUGGCGAACGGGUGAGUAACGCGUAAUCAACCUGCCCUUCAGAGGGGGACAACAGUUGGAAACGACUGCUAAUACCGCAUACGAUCUAAUCUCGGCAUCGAGGAUAGAUGAAAGGUGGCCUCUACAUGUAAGCUAUCACUGAAGGAGGGGAUUGCGUCUGAUUAGCUAGUUGGAGGGGUAACGGCCCACCAAGGCGAUGAUCAGUAGCCGGUCUGAGAGGAUGAACGGCCACAUUGGGACUGAGACACGGCCCAGACUCCUACGGGAGGCAGCAGUGGGGAAUCUUCCGCAAUGGACGAAAGUCUGACGGAGCAACGCCGCGUGAGUGAUGACGGCCUUCGGGUUGUAAAGCUCUGUUAAUCGGGACGAAAGGCCUUCUUGCGAAUAGGGAGAAGGAUUGACGGUACCGGAAUAGAAAGCCACGGCUAACUACGUG